AAAAAGCAACAUUUCCUCUCCAGACGGAUGCGGUGCUGCUGGGUCUUAAAGACUGCCCUCUGCCCAGAAUCCAGUAUAGAAAAUAAAUCCAGGGGAUGUACAGUUUCAGUCACAACAUGGCCUGAGCCUGGACGUUGUCGCUUCCACACUUAAAAUAAGAAAACUGCAACAAACUUAAAAUCAAUUACUUUCCCUGGAUUCUGAGAACUGUGGUUGCAGGACAAAUGCCCACCCCUAAAUCUGGAGGAUCACAGCUGACAUCUGCUCACCUAGAGCAGAAGCUACUAGUACCGUAAAGUGACAGGAAUACUUAAAUGGUAAUUUUAACAAAUUUCUGGAGGCUGAGUAUUAACUAGAAUGACAGUGGGAAACUCCAGGAGCACCAGAUUUAGGGGACCUCAUAUUUAUUGAAUUUUACCACUAGGAAAUGCACUAGCAACUUACAAUUUAAAAAUCAAGAAAGAUAUUCUCUUGACUCUAGCAGGAGGAGGAAAAGAGUAAUAUGAAAUAUACCCAGUGUGUUCUUCAUAAUAUGCUCACUCUCUAGGGGAAAAGUCUUUGCCAGAGCCUUAUUCCACCUGGAGGAGGGGCAUCUACCCAACUCUGUCCUCUUUAGCCUUCCUGUCUCACCUAAAGGGGAAAAAGCUAUACUAUUGGAACAAUGCCUGUGACGGUCAUGACCUAGGGAAAAAAGCCCACUAAACCACUGACAUUUAAUCAAAACACUAUACAGUACUUUCCUUAUCCCACAUCUUACCAGCACACACAGGGCUCCAGUGUAACAGUGGAUUACAAUGGAAAAAAAAAAAAAGCCAACACCCAGACUCUAGAGGGAGGAGUCCAAAGGCAAGAAGGGACACCAAAACCAAGGAUACUAGAGGAAUUUUAAACCUCUCCCACCUAUAACUACAGCAAACAUUAAAUACAGCUCACUUGCUGGCCAGAUUAACUUAAAUCUUCACAAGAAAAACCUGUUUACCUCAGUUCCCAUUAGACUAUGAAACAUGUCCAGCUACCAACAAAAAUUAACAUGCAUGCCAGAAGACCAAACAAAACAAUUCUGAAGAGACAGAGAAACCAUCAGACUGUGGCUUAGACAUGACACAGAUAUUGGAAUUAUAAAAACAGAUUUCUAAAUAACUAUGAUUGACUUGCAAAGGUUCUGAUGGAGUGUGCAAGGAAAUGUUUGCAGAGUUGCAAGAAAAAAGAAAACAACAACUUAGAACUCUAUAUCCAUGGAAACUCUCCUCAAAUGUGAGGGAGAAAUAAAGACAUUUCUGGAAAACAGAGACUGAGGGAAUUCAUUACGACCAGAUCUUCCCUGCAAGAAUGUUCGAAGUUCUCCAGGUAGAAAAACAACAGCAACAGGACCCUAACGGUUCAGAAACCCAGAUUGACACAAAGAAAGAAAAAGCUAUGGUGAUGCAAUAAAUUAAGGUAAAAUAAAAUUUCUCAGGAGGCGGGGCAAACUGGCAGAGGAGUGGGGUCCUCACCUGCCCCGGCCCCACCAACUGACCUGGGUAACUUUCAAAGCACCCUGAACACCUACGAAUUCAGCCUGAGAUUUAAAGAGAGAACGGCCGGAAAGCUGCAGAGAGAAGGGUUUGCACUUCUCACGAGGUAGGGAGGUGGAAAAACAUAAAUAACAAAGAACAGGGGGGAGGGGCCCUGCGAGGAGCUGGGCUAAGGGGGCGGCGAGGGCCUCCCCAGAAGCGGGGACUCUAGGAAUCCGCCCCGGACCCUCCCCGGGGGAAGUGCUCGCAAGGACCCGGGCAGGACCGCAGGGG
rnacentral:lncRNA from 1 species